rnacentral:rRNA from 1 species
CAAGAGCGUAUAUUAAAGUUGUUGCAGUUAAAAGCUCGUAGUUGGAUUUCUGGUACAACGCGCCUGGCCCGCUUACGUGAGUGCCGGUGCGCGUUUGCCAUCCUUCUAGAAAACGUCUCUACUCGGGCAACUGAGCCGGAUUCGCGAUCUAGAUCUUUUACUUUGAAAAAUUAGAGUGUUCAAAGCAGGCAUUGGCUUGAAUACAUUAGCAUGGAAUAAUAGAAUAGGACUUUGGUUCUAUUUUGUUGGUUUCUAGGACCGAAGUAAUGAUUAAUAGGGACAGUUGGGGGCAUUAGUAUUUAAUUGUCAGAGGUGAAAUUCUUGGAUUUAUGAAAGACUAACUACUGCGAAAGCAUUUGCCAAGGAUGUUUUUCAUUAAUCAAGAACGAAAGUUAGGGGAUCGAAGACGAUUAGAU